UACGGGGGGGGCAAGCGUUGUUCGGAAUUACUGGGCGUAAAGGGCUCGUAGGCGGCCAACUAAGUCAGACGUGAAAUCCCUCGGCUUAACCGGGGAACUGCAUCUGAUACUGGAUGGCUUGAGUUCGGGAGAGGGAUGCGGAAUUCCAGGUGUAGCGGUGAAAUGCGUAGAUAUCUGGAGGAACACCGGUGGCGAAGGCGGCAUCCUGGACCGACACUGACGCUGAGGAGCGAAAGCCAGGGGAGCAAAGCGGG
rnacentral:rRNA from 1 species